rnacentral:miRNA from 1 species
UCCGAGGGAUCUGAUGGAUCCUAGGGAUCUGAUGGAUCCGAUGGAUCCAAUGCAGAUCCCUAGGAUCCAUCAGAUCCGUCGGAUCCAUCAGAUCCGUCGGAUCCAUCAGAUCCCUCGGAUCCAUCAGAUCCAUCGGAUC